UGGGGGGCACUGGAUCAAUUUCUGGAGCCAGGCAGACUUGCCAACAACAAUUUUCUUUUUCCCAGAGGGCCUUGGAGGCCGGCAGCAGGUUCCAAGUCCUUCCUCUCCUGCCCGUUCGGCGUGGGCUCCCUGACAGCGAGUUUGAAAAGGGUUACAGAGAGGCAGAUAAAUGCUGGGCUUGUUGCAGCCUUCCUGACAGCGCCGACCCCCGCGCCAGUGAGCUCAUGCCCGCCUCAUUACGCUCGGUGCCAGAUUUUUUCCAUUAACAGGGCCAUAAUAUUCGGAGAAGAGGAGCUGGUUUCCUGUGUCUCCCCCCGCCCCCCGCGCGCCCCCCACGGCCGUCUGACACCUUGUUUUAAGACCGGAUGGUGAAGUACCUUCCCUUCGCGCAGAGGCUUUUGCUCGCUCCUCGCUCGCUCUAGCGCACAUGCGCACACGCACGUGCACGCAUACGCGCACGUAUACGCACACAGACGCACACGCACACCUGGAAGAUCACCCCUAGACGCCUGUUGACCUCACAGCUUCAGUCUGCAACCCGCAAAGCCCUGUUCCCGGUCCCUCCCAGUCGGCCAGCCCCGCCCUCUUUGCUGCACCUGCGCACGUGCUCCAGGUGGAUAGCGUCCCAGGCGACCGAGGGACAGGAAGCAAGCCGAGGGACAAACACUCGAGAGGAAACCCUGAACGCAGCCUUUGUGCUCCGGAGUCAGUGCCACCAAGAGCUGCUUACCAAGAAGAGACCAGAGGUGAGUUGGUGCCAGCUUCCUUUUCUUUUCUGAAGAAAUGAAUAGAUAAACGUUAUUUCGAGCUACUUCUUUUCAAACUAGUUCCCCGCAGAAGUGCAAAAAAGGAAGCUGGGCUGAGAUGGCCAGGAUGGCUGCUGUAGAUGGGUAGACGACCCAGCUGCUGACCCUGUUAGUCCCAGCGGCUGAGUGUGGCCAGUUCAAGUAGAGAGCACUUCCGGAGCCUGGGCCGUGUGCCUGGACGGACAGAGGAGGCGGGCGUGGUGCAGAGUUUACAUCCGUGCAAAGCAGAAUGGGCCACGUGCCCCGGCAAGGGCCCUGGCAGAGGAAAAGUUGCAUCCGCCUGGUGGAGGACAGUGGUUGGGGGAGGAGGCACGCCAUUCAGAAAGGCUUUGAGGACAGACCAGCGCUUGAAAUACCACUUGAGCAAUGGUAGGUUUUCUUUUAUUCACUGUUUUAUGGCUGAUGAUUAUUUCUGGUAGUUCAAGGGUCCCAAUACAUGUUCAUUAGAGAAAAUACUGAAAAAUACAGAGAAGAAGAUUAAUGUACUCAUAAUCCCAGCACCCAGAAGAAGACCGAAGUAACACCUUGGUGUAUUUCUUCUAGGCCUUUGUGUCUUUGUGUGUAUGUAUACAAAGCGCACACACACACACGUACACAUAGCAAGUUCACAAAAUUAGGCUUUUACAGAAUAAAUACCUUUGGAACGAAGAGACA
rnacentral:lncRNA from 1 species